rnacentral:rRNA from 1 species
GACGAACGCUGGCGGCGUGCUUAACACAUGCAAGUCGAACGGAAAGGCCCUGCUUUUGUGGGGUGCUCGAGUGGCGAACGGGUGAGUAACACGUGAGUAACCUGCCCUUGACUUUGGGAUAACUUCAGGAAACUGGGGCUAAUACCGGAUAGGAGCUCCUGCUGCAUGGUGGGGGUUGGAAAGUUUCGGCGGUUGGGGAUGGACUCGCGGCUUAGCAGCUUGUUGGUGGGGUAGUGGCUUACCAAGGCUUUGACGGGUAGCCGGCCUGAGAGGGUGACCGGCCCCAUUGGGACUGGGAUACGGCCCAGACUCCUACGGGAGGCAGCAGUGGGGAAUAUUGCACAAUGGGCGGAAGCCUGAUGCAGCAACGCCGCGUGCGGGAUGACGGCCUUCGGGUUGUAACCCGCUUUCGCCUGUGACGAAGCGUGAGUGACGGUAAUGGGUAAAGAAGCACCGGCUAACUACGUG